UACGUAGGGUGCAAGCGUUGUCCGGAAUUAUUGGGCGUAAAGAGCUCGUAGGCGGUCUGUCGCGUCGGCUGUGAAAACCCGGGGCUCAACCCCGGGCCUGCAGUCGAUACGGGCAGACUAGAGUGCGGUAGGGGAGACUGGAAUUCCUGGUGUAGCGGUGAAAUGCGUAGAUAUCAAGUGGAACACCAGUGGCGAAGGCGAGUCUCUGGACAUUUCCUGACGCUGAGGCACGAAAGCCAGGGGAGCAAACAGG
rnacentral:rRNA from 1 species